CUCUCUGUCCCCCAAAAAAUAAAUAAACGUUGAAAAAAAAAUUUUUUUUUUAAAUUGAGCCAGGUGAUCUGCUCCAAAAUAUAUCAGUUCCCAUUGAAAGCAUGUAGACAUGAACUCUUUCUACUCCUAAAGCCACUCCCACCCCUCCACACAGGCCCCGAUGCUUCCAGGAACCCCCUUCCAAGUACCUCAAGCCACCUUUAAAUGUCCAAAGACUGUCCCCCCACCAAGUCUACCCCUCCAUGUCCCAUAAACCUCAGAUGCUAUCUUGGGGUCACGCGGGAUGGGCUUUUGAUUUCUAUAAUACUUUAAUUUCUUCAAGGUGAGCAAAGGUUAUGUUUCUAAAAAAGAUAUUUCCAUUUUCAGAGGAAAAAGAAAGUGUGAAAAGACCCACUUUGCUUAACUUUGCACUUUUGCUUUAAAUCCUAAUGAGUCAUUGAAAAUCCCCUUGAUUGCUAUCUCCAGGCUUCAGAGGUCACCAGAAUUAAAGUACUGAAAUUAAUUUGGAAAGUGAAAAGCAUCAGCCUCCCCUAAUCUGACCCCAUUUAGCCAGUCUGGGCUGUACUGGUAGGAGGAGGGAGGAGGACCUGGAUAGAAAAAAGAAAAAAACAUUGCAAUGCUAACACCUCGCCACCUGCUACCGGAGGAAGAGCUGGAGUCCUUAAGCAUGGCGGGGAAGCCCAAGCUUCACUACUUCAAUGGCCAAGGCAGAAUGGAGUCCAUCCGGUGGCUCUUGGCUGCAGCAGGGGUAGAGUUUGAAGAAGAACUUUUUGAAGCACGUGAAGAAUUUGAGAAAUUAAUCCAAGGAUUGACAUGUAUGUAGAGGCCUUCAAGGAUCUGAGUGACAUGAUUAUGUUCUUUCCACUCUCUCUGCCUGGAGUGAAGGCUAUGAAUCUUGAAUACAUCCUUGAAAGAGCCACUACAAGAUUCUUCCCUGUCUAUGAGAAGGAGUUCAAGGCCAGAAUCAGCUGCAUUCCCACAAUUCACAAAUUUCUCCAGCCUGGAAGCCAAAGGAAGCCUCCACUAGAUGAAGGCUCCAUUGAGACCGUGAAGAACAUAUUCAAAUUUGAACGUGGCAUGUUUCUUAAAAACAUGGGUACUAUAGUAGCCGAGUAUUAACAAACGAAGAGGUCUAAAGGCCUCGGCACAUCUCACUUCACAUUUGUAGCAGUGCCCACAAAGGUAUCAUAAGGUCACUUUGAUAAAGAUAAGCAAAAGGAAAUAAACUACCUAAUACUGGCCUGUAAAUCAGACAACACUUUUUCUGUUUUUUAUAAAACAGUAAAACACCAAUCCAUCAGAAUCAUCCAAAUAAAGAUUCUUCUGCAUUCUA